rnacentral:rRNA from 1 species
UACGUAGGGUGCAAGCGUUAAUCGGAAUUACUGGGCGUAAAGCGUGCGCAGGCGGUUAUGUAAGACAGGUGUGAAAUCCCCGGGCUUAACCUGGGAACUGCAUUUGUGACUGCAUAGCUAGAGUACGGUAGAGGGGGGAUGGAAUUCCGCGUGUAGCAGUGAAAUGCGUAGAUAUGCGGAGGAACACCGAUGGCGAAGGCAAUCCCCUGGACCUGUACUGACGCUCAUGCACGAAAGCGUGGGGAGCAAACAGG